UGUAAACUGCUUUUAUACAGGAAGAAACCUUUCCACGUGUGGAGAGCUGACGGUACUGUAAGAAUAAGGAUCGGCUAACUCCGUGCCAGCAGCCGCGGUAAUACGGAGGAUCCAAGCGUUAUCCGGAAUCAUUGGGUUUAAAGGGUCCGUAGGUGGAUAAUUAAGUCAGAGGUGAAAGUUUGCGGCUCARCCGUAAAAUUGCCKUUGAUASUGGUUAUCUUGAAUCAUUGUGAAGUGGUUAGAAUAUGUAGUGUAGCGGUGAAAUGCAUAGAUAUUACAUAGAAUACCAAUUGCGAAGGCAGAUCUACUAACUAAUGUAUUGACUACUGAUGGACGAARUCGUGGGGAGCGAACGGGUAUUAGAUACCGGCGGUAGUCCACGUCGUAAACGAUGGUCACUAGCUGUUCGGACUUCGGUCUGAGUGCUAAGCGAAAGUGAUAAGUGACCACCUGGGAGUACGUUCGAAGAU
rnacentral:rRNA from 1 species